GUAAUGCAGGGACAGCAGCUUCAAGACUUCAAGCUAUGUGCUUAAAGUCAGAUGAUCUGCUUGGACUCUGGGUAGGCUUAACAUUUUGACCUGUCUGAACCAAUAAGUCCAAUUUCUGCCUUCUAGGAGGGUGAGUGGUUGAUAAAGUUUUCAAGUGCUGGGAUGAUAUGUGGUGUGAUGCUCAUCUGCCAUCUGUCUGCGCCAAGAAAAUCUGAUCAUUCUUGGACUGACACUGGAGCAUGAAAUUCCCAUAAAACACACACUGAUAUAUGAUGGUGUUUGUGUUUUGCUCGCUCUUACUUCAUUUCGUUUUGGAGCAUUAUAUUUUUCCUCUCUCUGUCAUAACAAAAUGACCAGCCAACACAAGCUGGGCUGUCCAUGAGGCAGCCUUUAAAGCAGUCCUGUCUUUAAUAAGAGCAGGCUAGUUACCAAAGGUCUGGUAGUGAUUUUUUUUUCUCUGCAAAGAAAACUUCUUCUUUCCUCUUGUUUAUUAUUUGCAACAAUAAAGCUUCAAGCAAGCAUG